CGCGUAGGCGGUUGGAUAAGUCAGCUGUGAAAACCACGGGCUUAACUCGUGGCCUGCAGUUGAGACUGUCUGGCUUGAGUGUGGGAGAGGAGAGUGGAAUUCCUGGUGUAUCGGUGAAAUGCGUAGAUAUCAGGAGGAACACCGGUGGCGAAGGCGGCUCUCUGGACCACAACUGACGCUGAGGCGCAAAGCUAGGGAGCAAACA
rnacentral:rRNA from 1 species